GACGUAGGGCGCGAGCGUUGUCCGGAUUUAUUGGGCGUAAAGAGCUCGUAGGCGGCUUGUCGCGUCGAAUGUGAAAACUCGGGGCUCAACUCCGAGCUUGCAUUCGAUACGGGCAGGCUAGAGUUCGGUAGGGGAGACUGGAAUUCCUGGUGUAGCGGUGAAAUGCGCAGAUAUCAGGAGGAACACCGGUGGCGAAGGCGGGUCUCUGGGCCGUAACUGACGCUGAGGAGCGAAAGCGUGGGGAGCGAACAGG
rnacentral:rRNA from 1 species